rnacentral:rRNA from 1 species
UACGGAGGGCGCAAGCGUUGUCCGGAAUUAUUGGGCGUAAAGAGCUCGUAGGCGGCUUGUCACGUCGGGUGUGAAAGCCCGGGGCUUAACCCCGGGUCUGCAUUCGAUACGGGCUAGCUAGAGUGUGGUAGGGGAGAUCGGAAUUCCUGGUGUAGCGGUGAAAUGCGCAGAUAUCAGGAGGAACACCGGUGGCGAAGGCGGAUCUCUGGGCCAUUACUGACGCUGAGGAGCGAAAGCGUGGGGAGCGAACAGG